rnacentral:rRNA from 1 species
AAUUUAGUACAAUGGGGGAAACCCUGAUCCAGCCAUCCCGCGUGUAUGAUGAAGGCCUUCGGGUUGUAAAGUACUUUUGGCAGAGAAGAAAAGGUACCUCCUAAUACGAGGUACUGCUGACGGUAUCUGCAGAAUAAGCACCGGCUAACUCCGUGCCACCAGCCGCGGUAAUACGUAGGGUGCAAGCGUUAAUCGGAAUUACUGGGCGUAAAGCGUGUGUAGGCGGUUCGGAAAGAAAGAUGUGAAAUCCCCGGGCUUAACCUUGGAACUGCAUUUUUACCUGCUGAGCUAGAGUAUGUCAGAGGGGGGUAGAAUUCCACGUGUAGCAGUGAAAUGCGUAGAUAUGUGGAGGAAUACCGAUGGCGAAGGCAGCCCCCUGGGAUAAUACUGACGCUCAGACACGAAAGCGUGGGGAGCAAACA